rnacentral:tRNA from 1 species
GCCCUGGUGGUGGAAUGGUAGACACGAAGGACUUAAAAUCCUUUGGAUGCAUAAUCCGUGCGGGUUCGAGUCCCGCCUAGGGCA